rnacentral:SRP_RNA from 2 species
GCUGGGUGUGGUGGUGCAUGCCUGUAAUCCCAGCUACUUGGGAGGCUAAGGCAGGAGAAUUGCUUGAACCCAGGAGGCAGAGGUUGCAGUGAGCCAAGAUCGUACCACUGCACUACUCCAGCCUGGGUGACAGAGCAAGACUCUGUCUCAA